UCUGGAUUCAUACAACAGGGAUUGGACACAGUUCAAAGGUGGGAUGUGCUCAGACUCCUUGUGCAAACCUCACCUUCCCUGAGAGUUCAGCACCAGGGCUCCAAAAAUGUUCUGUGUCCCAGAGAGGUUGUGACUUGUCUGGGGGCUGUUGGUCAGACCUGUCUACAGAGGCCACUGGACCUGAGAGCAUCGAGGGGCACAUCAGGGCCAGGGCCUGAUGUAAGAUCGUUGUACCAGAUGCACCAAAUGGACCCCGAUGUCAUAUUCAGGAAAGGUGCUGGGCUGUGAUUCCAGGAUUCCAGCCUUUUUCUGUGAAUCCCAACACAUGUGCAUGUCUGGAAGCCUGUGUCAGCAAUG